rnacentral:rRNA from 1 species
AGUGAACGCUGGCGGUAGGCCUAACACAUGCAAGUCGAACGGCAGCACAGUAAGAGCUUGCUCUUACGGGUGGCGAGUGGCGGACGGGUGAGGAAUACAUCGGAAUCUACUUUUUCGUGGGGGAUAACGUAGGGAAACUUACGCUAAUACCGCAUACGACCUACGGGUGAAAGCAGGGGAUCUUCGGACCUUGCGCGAUUGAAUGAGCCGAUGUCGGAUUAGCUAGUUGGCGGGGUAAAGGCCCACCAAGGCGACGAGCCGUAGCUGGUCUGAGAGGAUGAUCAGCCACACGGGAACUGAGACACGGUCCAGACUCCUACGGGAGGCAGCAGUGGGGAAUAUUGGACAAUGGGCGCAAGCCUGAUCCAGCCAUACCGCGUGGGUGAAGAAGGCCUUCGGGUUGUAAAGCCCUUUUGUUGGGAAAGAAAAGCAGCAGGUUAAUACCCCGCUGUUCUGACGGUACCCAAAGAAUAAGCACCGGCUAACUUCGUG